rnacentral:lncRNA from 1 species
GUUGCAUUAUUGACCAAAAGCAUUUUUUUACUUAUCAAAAAUAAGACUUCUGGGCGUCUUACACAAGCCUUUUAUUUUGUCUUCAGAUAAGAGGUCUAAAGAGAUUGUGCUGCAUCUCUGGGAAUGGAAACUGUACUCAUGUGUACCACCCUUAAAUGAAGGCAAGCUCUACUCACAUGCUUCUGAGGCCCAUGUAUAGCUGGUUAUGUAACUGAGAAAGGAUAACUAAAAAAAUAAACUAAUAAAGCAAGCAAG